CCUUGAUAGAAAUGAGUUAUGAAACGAAAAACAAUCAUUACAUAACUACAAAAUUUGGAGUAUAUUCUGUAUAAGAAGUAAUAAGAUGAUAACCCUACAACACAUGUAUAUUACACUUUAUACUUAGCAGAGAGGUGAAAGGUACCAAAGGGACACUCAAAUUCCUACACAGAGAAAUGUCACUCACAUCAAGUUCGCGUGAAUUUAAAUUCAUGUGAAAUUCACGUGAAAUACAACUGCAUUUUCC
rnacentral:lncRNA from 1 species